AAAAUUAGCGGAUGACUUGUGGCUGGGGGUGAAAGGCCAAUCAAACCGGGAGAUAGCUGGUUCUCCCCGAAAGCUAUUUAGGUAGCGCCUCGUGAAUUCAUCUCCGGGGGUAGAGCACUGUUUCGGCAAGGGGGUCAUCCCGACUUACCAACCCGAUGCAAACUGCGAAUACCGGAGAAUGUUAUCACGGGAGACACACGGCGGGUGCUAACGUCCGUCGUGAAGAGGGAAACAACCCAGACCGCCAGCUAAGGUCCCAAAGUCAUGGUUAAGUGGGAAACGAUGUGGGAAGGCCCAGACAGCCAGGAUGUUGGCUUAGAAGCAGCCAUCAUUUAAAGAAAGCGUAAUAGCUCACUGGUCGAGUCGGCCUGCGCGGAAGAUGUAACGGGGCUAAACCAUGCACCGAAGCUGCGGCAGCGACACUAUGUGUUGUUGGGUAGGGGAGCGUUCUGUAAGCCUGUGAAGGUGUACUGUGAGGUAUGCUGGAGGUAUCAGAAGUGCGAAUGCUGACAUAAGUAACGAUAAAGCGGGUGAAAAGCCCGCUCGCCGGAAGACCAAGGGUUCCUGUCCAACGUUAAUCGGGGCAGGGUGAGUCGACCCCUAAGGCGAGGCCGAAAGGCGUAGUCGAUGGGAAACAGGUUAAUAUUCCUGUACUUGGUGUUACUGCGAAGGGGGGACGGAGAAGGCUAUGUUGGCCGGGCGACGGUUGUCCCGGUUUAAGCGUGUAGGCUGGUUUUCCAGGCAAAUCCGGAAAAUCAAGGCUGAGGCGUGAUGACGAGGCACUACGGUGCUGAAGCGACAAAUGCCCUGCUUCCAGGAAAAGCCUCUAAGCAUCAGGUAACAUCAAAUCGUACCCCAAACCGACACAGGUGGUCAGGUAGAGAAUACCAAGGCGCUUGAGAGAACUCGGGUGAAGGAACUAGGCAAAAUGGUGCCGUAACUUCGGGAGAAGGCACGCUGAUAUGUAGGUGAAGCGACUUGCUCGUGGAGCUGAAAUCAGUCGAAGAUACCAGCUGGCUGCAACUGUUUAUUAAAAACACAGCACUGUGCAAACACGAAAGUGGACGUAUACGGUGUGACGCCUGCCCGGUGCCGGAAGGUUAAUUGAUGGGGUUAGCGGUAACGCGAAGCUCUUGAUCGAAGCCCCGGUAAACGGCGGCCGUAACUAUAACGGUCCUAAGGUAGCGAAAUUCCUUGUCGGGUAAGUUCCGACCUGCACGAAUGGCGUAAUGAUGGCCAGGCUGUCUCCACCCGAGACUCAGUGAAAUUGAACUCGCUGUGAAGAUGCAGUGUACCCGCGGCAAGACGGAAAGACCCCGUGAACCUUUACUAUAGCUUGACACUGAACAUUGAGCCUUGAUGUGUAGGAUAGGUGGGAGGCUUUGAAGUGUGGACGCCAGUCUGCAUGGAGCCGACCUUGAAAUACCACCCUUUAAUGUUUGAUGUUCUAACGUGGGCCCCUUACCGGGGUUGCGGACAGUGUCUGGUGGGUAGUUUGACUGGGGCGGUCUCCUCCUAAAGAGUAACGGAGGAGCACGAAGGUUGGCUAAUCCUGGUCGGACAUCAGGAGGUUAGUGCAAUGGCAUAAGCCAGCUUGACUGCGAGCGUGACGGCGCGAGCAGGUGCGAAAGCAGGUCAUAGUGAUCCGGUGGUUCUGAAUGGAAGGGCCAUCGCUCAACGGAUAAAAGGUACUCCGGGGAUAACAGGCUGAUACCGCCCAAGAGUUCAUAUCGACGGCGGUGUUUGGCACCUCGAUGUCGGCUCAUCACAUCCUGGGGCUGAAGUAGGUCCCAAGGGUAUGGCUGUUCGCCAUUUAAAGUGGUACGCGAGCUGGGUUUAGAACGUCGUGAGACAGUUCGGUCCCUAUCUGCCGUGGGCGCUGGAGAACUGAGGGGGGCUGCUCCUAGUACGAGAGGACCGGAGUGGACGCAUCACUGGUGUUCGGGUUGUCAUGCCAAUGGCACUGCCCGGUAGCUAAAUGCGGAAGAGAUAAGUGCUGAAAGCAUCUAAGCACGAAACUUGCCCCGAGAUGAGUUCUCCCUGACUCCUUGA
rnacentral:rRNA from 1 species